AUUUUAUUCACCAUCCACAAUUAUUUUUAAAACACUUUCCAGAAAAUGUUAUUCGAUGUAUCACAUCUACCAGGCGUCCAACGACGGUUAUACAUUUAUUUUUGUUAAACGUGUUUUUAAAAAAAUUUGAUUAGUAGUUAUUAAACGUAGUGUACAGUGUAACCCCGCCGGUUGAAGAAACUAUUUAAAUACAUCAUAAUAUAAAUACAGAGGGAAGUCAUAGUGGACUGAGAAAGAUCCAAAAUUGAAAUAGAUCGCGACAUACCCACUGCACGGACAUAACAAACAAAUUUCUAACUCAGAUGCACGAGGAGUUUUCUUAAAAUGAUAGAACCCAUGGAAAAGCACCUAAAAGAUGUACGAAGAUAAAAAUGAAAACUCAGUUCUCUCUCGCCCUAAUAAACUCUAUGUAUUAUAUAGAAUUCCUACUAUUAAGACGUGAACUCUAUUGGUCAAUUUGGAGAUCUUUUGAUUAGACACAGCUUGAGAUGAGUGCAUUAAGUGCAUUAGCAUAUGGUACCAUUGCUGUGCGUCAACAAACAAUAAUGAUACAAGACUAAAUUACGAGUAAAAUAUUAUACACAUAUGCCAUGUGAAUACUUGGGAAAUGUAAAAUACCUUCAUUUGCAAGCAUGGAAAACCAGAUACAGGACCCUGAGCGAUAAUUGUGGGAAGACAAUGGGGUUAAUUGCAGAACUCGGCAAUUGUUAAAAUAUUAAAGUGGUGCAUAAGAAUUUAACUUGAAAAUUGUUAAGUAUUAUGUUAUAUUUUAUUAUGUAACAAUUGUAUAAUCACUAAAAAAAUGUUGUAACUACACAAGGAUAACUGUUACCCGGUAGUCGGCACUCGGAACUUAUAAAAUGAUUUUUUGGAAUGCCAGCGGUAUUUCAAUCUAAAUUCUCAAAUAAAAAAAAGAGAAAUUGCAAGAGGUACUUACAGAAGAAGUCUGAAGUAGUGUACCUACUACCUACAUCAUUCAUUUAUAGAAAUGCAUAUCAGUUUAUAUAGCUAUUGGAAAACGUCUGAAGGAAAUAACUUCCGGUUCCGAGCGUUCCAGCCAAUAGGAUUGUGUAAUACCAACAAUACCAUUCCUGCAUGUAAUCGUUGAAAUUAUUUCUUUGAUUAAAACGGAAAACACACUCAACAGACCGAUACAUUUCUUGCAGUCGCUGGCCGAAAUAAUUAUUGUUGCUCGACUCCUAACAACAUGAAAUCAUAAGCCAUAUAAAAUAUUCGUCACAGUAAAAUUGGCACAGUUUUGAAUCGACGACAUCAUGGGAACUGCUUUCGCAUUACUUCCACGAUGCAUAAAUAAUACUACUAUAAACAUUUGGUAACGAAAAUUUGUGGAAAAUCGUUGUUCAGCAAUAAUUCAUCUACCGCGGUAUAAUGUUUCGACGUCUUAAUUUAAAUGCUAAAUCGAAAACGCGCGGUAAACGUACGACACACCACCAAAAACGGAACCCAACGAAAAGAGUCGACUGAUGGCUGCAACAUCCAAUUAUUAUAAUACCUACUUAAAUCAAUAGUGAC